AUCUGAGAUAGAGCCGGAUUUUGCCAGCCUCCUCGAAUUCUUACCUUUUGUCCUGCGUUACACGCCGGGGAAAGGAAUUCUGGGAUCGUGUGUUACGCUGAUCCAAAAAUUUUUUAAGUAGUAAAGAAGUUGUAAAACAAUGGAUACAAGUAUAUAUUUAUAAUACAAGAAAUGAAGAUUCUGAAAAAGAAGCUGAUGACCAAGGGAUGAUAAGGGAUAGAAAGAUGACGUGUUUGCUUGAAGAGUGAGGUUGACAGAUCGAGAGAUAUUUGUACAUGUUUGGGCUUCCCUGGUGGCACAGUGGUUAAGAAUCUGCCUGCCAAUGCAGGGGACACGGGUUCGAGCCCUGGUCCGGGAAGAUCACACAUGCCGCGG